UACGAAGGGGGCGAGCGUUGUUCGGAUUUACUGGGCGUAAAGGGCGCGCAGGCGGUUCUGUUUGUCGAGUGUGAAAGCCCCGGGCUCAACCUGGGAACUGCGCUCGAAACGGCGGAACUAGAGUUCGGGAGAGGAGAGUGGAAUUCCCAGUGUAGAGGUGAAAUUUGUAGAUAUUGGGAAGAACACCGGUGGCGAAGGCGGCUCUCUGGACCGAUACUGACGCUGAGACGCGAAAGCGUGGGGAGCAAACAGG
rnacentral:rRNA from 1 species